UUAGUGCAAGUCCUAACUCCUUUUUGGAGAGCAAUGGGUAUAUCAAGAUUAUCAACAGAAAUAUUAGGACUAUUAGAAGAAGGAGACUCACCACGUUAUUCUUUUGGCCCAGAAUGUUCAGGAGCUGAAUCCAGAGGUUCUGACUGAUUAGUUAUAUUAUGCUCAAUGGUUGUAUCUGUCUUGCUCCGACGAGUGUAGGUUCUUAAAUCUAAUCUAUUCAAUCUCCCUGAGAUUUAAGGAGGUGAUUGAUUUUGGUUAGGUGGCUUAUUACUAA
rnacentral:misc_RNA from 1 species